rnacentral:rRNA from 1 species
UACGUAGGGUCCGAGCGUUGUCCGGAAUUACUGGGCGUAAAGAGCUCGUAGGCGGUCUGUCGCGUCUGCUGUGAAAACUCAGGGCUUAACCCUGAGCUUGCAGUGGGUACGGGCAGACUAGAGUGCGGUAGGGGAGACUGGAAUUCCUGGUGUAGCGGUGAAAUGCGCAGAUAUCAGGAGGAACACCGGUGGCGAAGGCGGGUCUCUGGGCCGUAACUGACGCUGAAGAGCGAAAGCAUGGGGAGCGAACAGG